rnacentral:rRNA from 1 species
CGCGAAGAACCUUACCAGGUCUUGACAUCCUUUGGCCACUCUAGAGAUAGAGCUUCCCCUUCGGGGGCAAAGUGACAGGUGGUGCAUGGUUGUCGUCAGCUCGUGUCGUGAGAUGUUGGGUUAAGUCCCGCAACGAGCGCAACCCUUAUUGUUAGUUGCCAUCAUUCAGUUGGGCACUCUAGCAAGACUGCCGGUGACAAACCGGAGGAAGGUGGGGAUGACGUCAAAUCAUCAUGCCCCUUAUGACCUGGGCUACACACGUGCUACAAUGGGAAGUACAACGAGUCGCGAAGUCGCGAGGCUAAGCUAAUCUCUUAAAGCUUCUCUCAGUUCGGAUUGCAGGCUGCAACUCGCCUGCAUGAAGCCGGAAUCGCUAGUAAUCGUGGAUCAGCACGCCACGGUGAAUACGUUCCCGGGUCUUGUACACACC